GUUUGUUUUCCACCUCCAUCCCCCUUUUUCUCGCAUACUAAAAACAAAGAAGAUAUUCUCCAUACACAGGAAUAUCAAAGCGUAAACAGAAAUAAUAGCGGCACAAAAAUUUCCCGCCAAUUCGAGAGGUCUCAUAAUUGUGGCUGCACAUAAUGUAUACUAGCGUGCAAAGCUUCACCCAUUGUAAAUUCGCAAGGAGCGACGGUAUAUUUCUUGUCGCGUCCUAGAGAAAGACAUCACGUGAAAUUCUUCUCUGGUUUCGUUGAAUCUUGAAAAAUCUGUUGGGCUGCGUUUCUCGUCUGAACUGUUAAGAUUCGAUUGCAUGCCAGAAGUUUUCAAAUUUAUUUAGAAUCAUCAUUGACUAAUAGAGUUCAAACAAAAAUGGCAUGUGGAAUGCUGCAAAAAAUCCUUGAUAAGGGCAGCGUCAGAGGGAAACAUGGAAAUUCAUAGUUUGUUUGGUUUUCCAACUUGAACACUUUUGCUUUUGUAUUUUUCCAUACAACCACACCGUACAAUUUGUAAGUGGUGUGUAUUACUCUGUACCACUGGGACACACAAUGUGUUUCAUGCUGAAAAUGCCUCAAGUUCUUGAACAGAAGCAUUAGGAUGAAACAGGAUGGUAAAAAUCAUCAGCACGAAAUGGGUGUUUUAAUCCUGGAAGAUUUGCAAUUGGUGCAUUCUGCAAAAAAGAAAUCUAAAACUACAUAUAGGGUCUGCUGGAUUGUCUCUUUGGGGGCCACUAAAUUGUAUUACAUAUGCACCCAAACAAUGUUUCAGUGGUUGUUGAUUGUUGAGGCAUCUCUACACUCGAUUGUGCUUUUCCAAGGAUGCAUUGGUCAAUGGGUUUUCCUCUAGUCCUUUAAGGUUCCUGAAAUCAGCCUGAAGAUCUACACAGACAAACAUCAUGUGGAUUUCAGCGGUUCUAACCGUGGCCUGUUUUGUACGCGAUUGGAAGGUGAAAUGACUUUGGCUGUCGCUGAGCUAUUAACAGAGCUGACAUCCGAAGUCACAACACCACUUUUUCUUUUUAACGUCAUCAAAUCCCUGGUCGUGUUCUUUUGCACUGAUGCAGCAUUAGCAUCGAAAAAGGAAGGUGGAGACUCAAAAUUCCUUUCGCGAACAGUAAAAAUGUCUUGUUAAGAGACUGCCAUAAGCAUCACUCAAUCCUGAUGACGUUCUCGCCGCAUCUCUUUCAGCCUAUUGGGACCGAAGGCCCAUCUUAAUCGUACUUGCUGAUAAGUUCAGGGAAUAGUGUGUGUCUUGACAGGAAGUUUCUGAAUUGCCAAUCCAGCUGACUGACAACACGCUCCCAAAUGGCUUGACCACCUUGCGCAAAAGAAAGACCAGAGGACGAAUAGUCACUUUGAUCUCCGUAUUUGCCGUGGUUUUACGGCUGUCAUCAAGUAGUCUGUCGGACCCAAAUAUUCGAGUGGCUGGAUGAAAGUGUAUGCAGCUCCAUCAUUCCCGGCUGGCUCCGAUAAUCUUCUGAUCGAUUGACCCCAAUAGUAUGCAAAAUCUUCAGCGGAUGGUGGAUGAUGGAAAAGGGAACGAGAAUAACAACAAAGAGAAGGUAUUUUUUUUUUUUUUACGUCAGAGACGAGUAGGGCCAUUACGACAAAUGCAUUUCCAAUUCAAUAAAUAACAGCAUAUAUGGAAGAGAACAAAUUGAGACGAAGAAAAUAGCGUGACUCGGUUUUUGAUGGAUUAGCUGUAGUCUUGUCACUCUGUAAAUUUUAUAUGAAAUCAACAAAUUUAACAAUCAAUUAUCUAAGAAUUGGCUUCAUUUCAUUGUUUUGAUAAUUCAAUUCACGUAAUACGAUGACAGUGCUGGAUUUUAUUUGUUUUUCUCAUUGAACGUUCCUGGCAGCAAUGGACGUUAAUUCUAUGUCUAAUCUUGGACUGUUGGUAGUUCAAGUCAUGGUCGAACUAUUUGACGCUGCCAGUAUAGCGAUGAUGCCCGGUGUUGCCGCCGUUGUCGUCGAAUUCAAAAUUGUCCCCAGCUGGCCCGUCUGUUGCGGCGAGAAAACGUUACUGGAUGCCGUCCCGUUUAUCUGGAUCAUGUCCCCGUUACUUGAAACGGAAGUGAACGUCUGCAAUUCAUUUUCUUUGCGCACUAGAACGAGAGAGACAAAAAGGGAUGAAACAAGUCACCACGAUUUGCCGUCCAUUUGGCAUUUUGCCGGCUGCAAUAUGGCCGGUAUCGGUUAGAAAAGGAAAUGGUCAGCAGACGAUAACCAGAAGUCGAUGACCGAUGGAUACACGCCAUGGCCCGCCUUAUAGUCGCGAGGCCGUUUCACAUGGCAACGGCCACGUGUGAUAAUCCCUUGCAGCACGCUGCACCGUGUGUGUACAAUCGGAGAAACGUCGAGACGGUCUUAAGUUAUAAAAUCUGCUGGCCAUCGGCGUAGGAGGAAAUGAGAUUUCCAGUGCGCCGAAGACCGCGAACGGCAGAGACGGAAGGAAGUUGAUGGACUGAUUUAUACCGUACUGCUUUCACUCAUAUGCCGCGGCUGAACCGCAGCACACUCGGCUGGAUGCCAAGUGGAUUGGACAGAAGAAUCGAGUCGACAAACAACAAAGAGAUGGCCGGUAAAAUAUGCAAUACGUUUUUCUACUUUGUUAUUGAUGAACACGGCGACAUUGUUUGCAUCAUAUUUUUUAAAGCGAAUCAGCCAGGACAUACAGAGAGAAAGGACGGCAACGCAGCAUCCGCCAAUGCCUGCAUAAAAUGCAUCGUCCCAAUCUAAACGUUUCGGUGACGCACUGUCCCAUCACACGCAGUCCGGCACAUCAUUGCACCGUGUCGCCUGAGAACAAACAGCUGCUCUAUUCUGGGAACGGCCAACCAUGUAGGUCACACUGGAUGGUCCAACUCGGUUGAGUACGUCCGGCCCGACCCACUGAAUACGGACGUAGUGAAUUCGGCGUAUGUCAGACACAAUCGCAACAUUUUAAUUCAACGUAGAAAUGAGCCAAACAUCGAGCGUAACGCAUGCCGUUUACACAACGUGUAAACUGAUGUGGAUGGAACUCUCAGGGAAUCGCCCAUUCGUCAUCUUUUGGCCAUCGAUGGCCUGACAAGGGACACGAAAUCGCGUAGGCGCCUUGCGUUGAAAGACAUUUCGUGCAGCAGCAGCAGCAGCACACAUACCGUCAUUCUAAAAACGGCUUCGUCACACAGCAUUCGUCAAACGCCGGUUCACUGGUGAAUGGAGCGUGAGAGGUGAAAGAGAUUGAAUUAUUUUCACUUAAAAAACUUGUUUUUUUUUUUCUAAUAUUUCGGUGUCGUGUCGCUUUUGCUGUCCACGGCCAAUCUGUGCCCGUUUCCCCAUUUACGGACGGUUGAAUUUAGAACGUUAUAGUUGUCUGCUGUACGAGCGCUGAAACCCAAUCUGCUUAGCAACUAUGCGAACACCGCCGACGUCUUUCUUAUAUUUAGAUCGUCGUCUGUUGUAGCAAAGUAAAAACACAAACUAUUUCAUCGUGGUGUCAUACUGCCGUUUUGGCAAGAACGAAUGUUGGCCGUGCGGAAUAAGGUCCAUAGCAGAGCGCCGAAUCGUCCGUAGCGCAUUCAAAUGGGCUAGUCGAUCGCAAAGUCACUUCAUCUCCCAUGACCAAAGAAAAUGAUGGUCUAUUUCGAGCAAUCGAUAAGAGAGCAUCAAAAAGGACGGCAUCGGGCCUCCUAUUUCUACAGGGGCACGUCAAUAAGGAACAGACACUAGGCGCGUUCAUCGGCGAAUUUUCCAAUCAUGGCUCCAUGUAUUCAGCGUUGAAUGCCAGGUCCAUGUAGUACGUCUUGGGCAAUCACGACGAAAGAUGGGCAGCUAUUUGGUUUCCGUCAAGUACAAUCAAUGACUCGACGUCGGAAAAAAAAAGUUGGUAGACGGCCAGACAGAAUAAAUGACGGUCACUGAGUGCAUCGAGCCAUCCGAACGAGUUUAGCUUGCCUUAUAUAAUAGUGUAUACUGAAUUUCUCCAUGAAUGAUGGUGCGCGCGUAACAGAGACCGUCUUUUUUUAAAAAACCCAAGUUGGAUAUGUUUAACAACAAAAGUUGGAUCAAACAAGUUUUUGAUCAAUUGGAAUUGAAUCAAGACCGCAGAUAAUUGGAUGAUGUUAUCAAAUGGGUAAUUGAAUCACUAAUAAUAACUUGAUGGAAACCCAUUAGAUAAUGUCUUCCCCCUGCAUAGAGUACAAAAGGCAAUCCUUGUAUAGCGUAUAGGCCAACUAGGAAAGGAUUGCUAAUCACGUCAAGUGCUGAAAAGAAGAAGAAGAAAAAAGCCAACAGAUGACAGAAGCUGCGGCACCGGUCGGUAAAAACUGUGUGCACCCGACAUCAAAGUGGUGGUCAGGAGACACGCAGGCGCCCGACGGACAGAGAAAACAAAAAAGUUUAAAAGUAUUUUCGGUGGUACGAUGAAGAUGUGCGUUUGCCGGCCAGCGAGUGGACGCUCAAGACUUUGUAGAAGAAAUAAACAAUUUAUUGUUUCGUUUCUAUACAAGAGCCUCUUCUUCCGUCUCUCGUGUUAUUCUCUUAUCCCUCCCGUGCAGUGUGGCCACGCGUUUUUCGGCCAAACGCAUUCGUCUAUCAUUCAAAGGCUGCCCCAUGUUGUGAAGGACAGUGACGUCAUCUUGAAACGUCUUUUUUUUCUGGGGAGGGGGGGAAAUGUUCAAUUAACUUUCGAAACUUGGUGGUGGUGGUGGAUGGCUCUUUAUCUAUUAGUCGGCAGUGUGUGUAGCUUUCACAUUAGCUCGACUGGGGAGACGAUAAAAACGAACCCGCGCUGUUUACAGAAAAUGAGAUCAAACUGGAAAAUGCAAUCUCUUCGAGGAAACGCAUCUUUGGUUUAGAGGUUCGAAGGCACAUUCAGUCAACUCGGCAACGCUAUUUUCCAACAGCCAAUUUUGUGCAACAUGACUCGAUUGGUGUGGCGCUGCAACGUGCAGCACCUGCUCAUCGGAACAGAUCAAGGUUGAGGCUAGAAAAGAUAAAUACCGGCUUCGUCAAUGGCCGACGCAUGGAACAGUGAAAUGAGGACGAAAAGGGCGCUGGCCAUCAGUAAGAUGAACGUGGUGCACACGACGGCCAUGACCACUUUCCUGCGACGUCGC